rnacentral:rRNA from 1 species
GACGAACGCUGGCGGCGUGCUUAACACAUGCAAGUCGAACGGAAAGGCCCUGCUUUUGUGGGGUGCUCGAGUGGCGAACGGGUGAGUAACACGUGAGUAACCUGCCCUUGACUUUGGGAUAACUUCAGGAAACUGGGGCUAAUACCGGAUAGGAGCUCCUGCUGCAUGGUGGGGGUUGGAAAGUUUCGGCGGUUGGGGAUGGAAUCGCGGCUUAUCAGCUUGUUGGUGGGGUAGUGGCUUACCAAGGCUUUGACGGGUAGCCGACCUGAGAGGGCGACCGGCCACAUUGGGGCUGGGAUACGGCCCAGCCUCCAACGGGAGGCAGCAGUGGGGAAUAUUGCACAAUGGGCGGAAGCCUGAUGCAGCAACGCCGCGUGCGGGAUGACGGCCUUCGGGUUGUAAACCGCUUUCGCAUGUGACGAAGCGUGAGUGACGGUAAUGGGUAAAGAAGCACCGGCUAACUACGUG